UACAGAGGUCUCAAGCGUUGUUCGGAUUCAUUGGGCGUAAAGGGUGCGUAGGCGGCGAGGUAAGUCGGAUGUGAAAUCCCGGGGCUCAACCCCGGAACUGCAUUCGAUACUGCUUUGCUUGAGUACUGGAGAGGAGACUGGAAUUUACGGUGUAGCAGUGAAAUGCGUAGAUAUCGUAAGGAAGACCAGUGGCGAAGGUGAGUCUCUGGACAGUUACUGACGCUGAGGCACGAAGGCCAGGGGAGCAAACGGG
rnacentral:rRNA from 1 species